rnacentral:misc_RNA from 1 species
UUCCUAGGCAUUCACCAUAGACUCUUAUUACUUUGACCAUAUUUUUAUCUUCCAUCUCUAUUUUGCCAAUUUGUUUAUACAACAUAGAAUAAUAUAUAUCUUUGUUUAAUCCAUGUCAAUAUAUAUUUUAUUUUUUAUAUUAUUUGAAUAAAACAUUCAAAAACAUGAACAUCUAAAAACAUAAAAAAUAAAAUCAAUGUUUAAAGUAUAAAACAAAAACCCUGGCAACAACUUACUCUCCCGCGAACUCGCAGA